AUUGAACGCUGGCGGCAUGCUUUACACAUGCAAGUCGAACGGUAACAGGGAGCUUGCUCCGCUGACGAGUGGCGAACGGGUGAGUAAUGCGUCGGAACGUGCCGAGUAGUGGGGGAUAACGCAUCGAAAGGUGUGCUAAUACCGCAUACGAACUGAGGUUGAAAGUGGGGGACCUUCGGGCCUCACGCUAUUCGAGCGGCCGACGUCUGAUUAGCUAGUAGGUGAGGUAAAGGCUCACCUAGGCGACGAUCAGUAGCGGGUCUGAGAGGAUGGUCCGCGACACUGGGACUGAGACACGGCCCAGACUCCUACGGGAGGCAGCAGUGGGGAAUUUUGGACAAUGGGCGCAAGCCUGAUCCAGCCAUGCCGCGUGUCUGAAGAAGGCCUUCGGGUUGUAAAGGACUUUUGUCUGGGAGCAAAUACCCGGUGUUAAUAGCGCCGGGGGCUGAGAGUACCAGAAGAAUAAGCACCGGCUAACUACGUGCCAGCCGCCGCGGUAAUAC
rnacentral:rRNA from 1 species